GAUGAACGCUGGCGGCGUGCCUAAUACAUGCAAGUCGAGCGAAGCGGCGGUUGGGUGAGUAACGCGUGGGUAACCUGCCCUUAAGUCUGGGAUACCAUUUGGAAACAGAUGCUAAUACCGGAUACUAAAGGAUGGACCUGCGAUGCAUUAGCUAGUUGGUAAGGUAACGGUUUACCAAGGCGAUGAUGCAUAGCCGGGUUGAGAGACUGAUCAGCCACACUGGGACUGAGACACGGCCCAGACUCCUACGGGAGGCAGCAGGAGGGAAUCUUGCACAAUGGACGAAAGUCUGAUGGAGCAACGCCGCGUGUGUGAAGAAGGUUUUCGGGUCGUAAAGCUCUGUUGUUGGUGAGGCGGUAAUCAACCAGGAAGUAACGGCUAACUCCGUGCCAGCAGCCGCGGUAAUUC
rnacentral:rRNA from 1 species